rnacentral:rRNA from 1 species
AUACGUGGGGGGCAAGCGUUAUCCGGAUUUACUGGGUGUAAAGGGAGCGUAGACGGUGUGACAAGUCUGAUGUGAAAACCCGGGGCUCAACUCCGGGAUUGCAUUGGAAACUGCCAUACUUGAGUGCAGGAGAGGUAAGCGGAAUUCCUAGUGUAGCGGUGAAAUGCGUAGAUAUUAGGAGGAACACCGGCGGCGAAGGCGGCUUACUGGACUGUAACUGACGUUGAGGCUCGAAAGCGUGGGGAGCAAACAGGAUUAGAUACCCUGGUAGUCCACGCGGUAAACGAUGAAUACUAGGUGUUGGGGGUCUAUAGACCCUCGGUGCCGCAGCAAACGCAAUAAGUAUUCCACCUGGGGAGUACGUUCGCAAGAAUGAAACUUAAAGGAAUUGACGGGG